UUAAUGUCUGCAAGGUGUGACAUCAGCUGCUUUGAUCUAGAUUAAACUGGUAUUAACCCUAAAUUUACAGAUAUAUUACACAUAAGAACACAGUGGAGGGAAAAAAGCUGCAAAAAGGGUCCAUAGAUUCCAAGGCCAGAAGGGAUGACAUGAUCACCUAGUUUGACUUCCUGCAUAACACCAGCGACAGAACUGCCCCCAAAAUAAUCCUAGAGAUCUUUUUAAAAAACAUGCAGUCAUGACUCCACCAGGACCAUUGUGCUGUAAUCUGGACCUAGCUCCAUCUAAUAACUGGCUCGUGCAUGGAAUCAGAAGAUAAUCACGUGAGAACUUCCAUACAUUCCAGGAGUGAGACCAUUUAUGAGCAGGGACUGAUCACCCCCAGUGUGCUAUUUUUCUAAUUAGAAACUUGCAGGGGAAUCGUCCUUCCCACCCAUUAAGAAGGUCUAUCAAAAUUAAAUGGAUCAUUAAAGGACAUCACAAUACAAAGGACUGGUGAAUGGCCUUAUCACACCUUGGAAAUGC